GAUGAACGCUGGCGGCGUGCCUAAUACAUGCAAGUCGAGCGAACAGAUAAGGAGCUUGCUCCUUUGACGUUAGCGGCGGACGGGUGAGUAACACGUGGGUAACCUACCUAUAAGACUGGGAUAACUUCGGGAAACCGGAGCUAAUACCGGAUAACAUUUGGAACCGCAUGGUUCUAAAGUGAAAGAUGGUUUUGCUAUCACUUAUAGAUGGACCCGCGCCGUAUUAGCUAGUUGGUAAGGUAACGGCUUACCAAGGCAACGAUACGUAGCCGACCUGAGAGGGUGAACGGCCACACUGGAACUGAGACACGGUCCAGACUCCUACAGGAGGCAGCAGUAGGGAAUCUUCCGCAAUGGGCGAAAGCCUGACGGAGCAACGCCGCGUGAGUGAUGAAGGGUUUCGGCUCGUAAAACUCUGUUAUUAGGGAAGAACAAACGUGUAAGUAACUGUGCACGUCUUGACGGUACCUAAUCAGAAAGCCACGGCUAACUACGUG
rnacentral:rRNA from 1 species